CUUGCCUCAUUUGCAUGCAUACAAUGACACAAAUGCAUCGGUUCAGGUCAUGGCCGGCCUUCGAAACUUAGCAGAUGCGGAACAUCCUUGCAACGUCCCAUUAAGCCCGAGCACUAAACUGAUUUACACUGUUUCUAUGAACUCAUUCCUAUGCCCCAAUAAUUCAUGUGCAGGGCCCAAUGGGACGCGGUUCUCCGCAAGUAUAAACAACAUAAGCUUCCAAUUCCCUACAAUUGACAUACUGCAAGCUUACUAUUAUAACAUCAGUGGUGUAUAUGGAGAUAAAUUUCCUAGCGUUCCACAAUUGGUGUUCGAUUUUACCACUAAUAUUCUUCCCUUAGAGUAUCAGACGCCGAAAAACGGAACAGAAGUAAGGGUGCUCGAGUAUAACUCCACAGUGGAGAUUGUUUUUCAAGGGACAAACUUGAUUGCAGGGACACACCACCCCAUGCAUCUCCAUGGAUACAGUUUCUAUGUUGUUGGAUGGGGAUUUGGGAAUUUCGAUAAAAAUAGGGACCCAUUGCGCUACAAUCUGGUGGAUCCUCCCCUUCAGAGUACCAUCUUCGUUCCUACGAAAGGUUGGGCUGCAAUCAGAUUCAAGGCAUCCAACCCUGGUAUGUUGCAAGCACUCAUGUGAAUUUAAAAAAAAAAAAAAAAAAACCCCUUGAAGCUGCCAACCUGCAUACCAAGGAAAUAAUUUUUCUUAAUAUUGCAAUAAGUUAGGUGUAAUGUUGGUAUAUUUUCUCUGUUGCAGGAGUGUGGUUCAUGCACUGCCAUGUAGAACGCCAUGUGACUUGGGGCAUGGGAACUGCGUUCAUAGUGAAAAAUGGUAAACACCAAGAAGCUCAAAUGCUGCCUCCGCCAUCCGACAUGCCACCAUGUUGAAGCUGCAAAGAAUUAACAUGCCAAAGAUUUCAUUGAAUGUUUGCAUUAUUCAGAUUUCAUUAUUUAUUUUUUGUUCAAAAAAGUUGUAGAAUAUUGUCUAGGAUUAUUAGAUAAUUUGUCAAUUUCUUGGAUUGUUAAAAGUCUAUAAAGAUAAUGUUGUAGAAUAAUCUUUGAGAUAUGCAAUGGUGGAAUUUGCCAUGAAAGUCUUGAUUUGACAACUUUUGCCCAUUCCAAUUUUAUUCAACAUGAUAAAAUAUCAUGUUGUAUUAGAAAAGUUUGAAAUUAUCUUUCAUUUGACAUGUUUUACUUUUCCAUAUUUGAUUCCAAUUUCAUACAAGGUUAGGUAUCAUAUUAAUAAUUAAAAAAAAAUUAUAAAUGAUACAGUUUAAAGUAAUUAAAUAAAUCAAAUAUUUAAAAAUUAGACUAUGAUCUAAAUGGAUACUUGUGAAAAAGGUCAUGAAAUGAUUUAUUUAAUUUUUACUUUUACAACUCAAAAUAUUUUGCAAAUAAGAAAUUUUUUAUGACGUCUUACACAAUUGAGAUAAAAUCAAUUAUUUUUAUUUAUUUAUUUCAAAUUAAAAUAAGCAUUUUUUUUUCUAAAUUUAAAAUAAUUGAUAUAUAAUUUAUAUUUUUACCUCCUAUUUUAGUAACAAUAUCACAAGACUACACCAAGAUAAAGGGAAAGGAAAAAAAAAAGGAAAAAAAUAAAAAAUCGUCCAUUUCCAUUGCAUGGGACAAAUUAAGUCUAACCCCACACCGAAGGAACUCCAAGUCUAUUUUUUAGCGAUUUAAUUAAUUUUCAACCCUCAUUUUAUUUUUUUAUUAUUUAUCUUUUAUUUUACAUCAAAGUAAACCCUUUACUGCUUCCUUAAAAUUAAAUAACUAGUAAAAAAAAAUCAUUUUUUAUUUUUUAUUUUUUAAAUCUAAGGUAAAAAAAAAUGUUUAGAAAUUAUUUUUAAGGGAUUUUUUUUAUUAUUUUUUAAAAGUGAUUUUCAUACAUAUUUAAAUUUCAUUAGGAUCGACUCUUAAGAGUUAAAUAAAAGUUUUUAUACGUAUUUAAUUAUUAUUUAAAAAAAACUUAACUUUUAAAAAAGGUUUCAUGUAGAAGUCAUCAAAAUGUUAUUUUUUAUAAGAAUUUUAUAAUUCUAUUAUAUAUAUAUAUAUAUAUAAAAGAAGUUCUUUCAUGUUUAAUAAAACUUUUACAAUAUCAAUAUUACCCCUUUAAAAUUAUUACUUUAAUUUUGAUUUUAAUUUUCAGUUAAAGCAAAAAAUAUGAAGCUAUCUCGAAUUUGACCUUACCAUCCACCUAAUUACUUUUUAUAAGAAAGUGUUACUUUUUAAUAUUUAGAAGGGCUUUUAUUUAUUCAUGUUUAAAUCAUUCCCAAAUAAAAUUUAUAAGAAAGAAAGAAAAAGUUUGCUCCAAUAUUAGAAAGAAAUACAAUUUUUAAAACAUGGAUUGAAGCAAUUAUAGAACUUUUUUACAUAUUUAAAAUUAUGAUAUCCUAAUUUCUUACAACUCCAAUCUCCAAUAUCCAUUAUUUAUCUAAAAUAUAACAUAAGGAAUGGUUGUCUACUCAUAAUACAGGACAUGAAAUAUAAUUUUGUUUUAGGCAACAUCAAAUUCAAUGCAUUAAAAUCAAAAGAGCAAGUGAGGAUCCGAAUUUCUCCCUGUGCAUGGUAUUUGACAGUGGUCCAUAUGAAAUUUAUUUAUAGUCAAAGUAUUUUUAUUAUCUAAUUUUAGAUGUGUUUGCAUUUUUAUUGAAUAGAAAAAACUAAAAUAAUUGAUUUUUUCUAUUUAGUUAAAAAUAACUUGCCAAUAUCAACCAACAUAACUAAACUAGACCUAUUACUAAUAAGUUCACUUUAGUUAUGUUGGUUGAUAUCAACAGGUUACUUUUAGUUAAAUAAAAAAAAUAAAGUCAAAUAUUUUAAUUUUUUCUAUUGAAACAAAAAAAUAAACACCAUCUUAAUGUUAGAAAUACCCCUUGUAUUUCAAAUCAAAUUUAGAGGACAACAAGAUUUUUAUUUCAAUAAUACAAUAAUACAGUUAUCAUUAUUAUGGCUAAAAAUCAGCCUACCAUUCGAGUAAACACACACACACACACACACACACAUAUAUAUAUAUAUAUAUAUAAAAUGCCAAUAUCACUAUUUUAGGCUAUGAAAUAAAUCUUUCAUGCAAUCAUUUCAGUGAUUCCUUUAAAUAAUAGAAAGAGAUAUUUAAUUUACAAACUUUGUGUAGAGAUAGGAUACAAAAAAUAUAAAAAAUAAAAAAUAAAAAAAAUACUAAUAUAUAUAUAUAUAUAUAUAAACUCCUCUAGCAAACCCAAUGAUUAAACCUAAAUAAUAAUAUUUUUAAUUCUUAAACUAUAUUCAUAUUUAAUAUUUGGUUUUAAUUUUAACCUUUUGCUUUAUUUUAUUAUUUUAGGUUUAAUAUGUUUUUUUUAAUAUUUUCCUCUUAAUUUUUACAGAUUUAUAUCAAAUGUUGGAAAAUGUCUUUUUAUAUAAUUGGAUACUAUAUAUAUAUAUAUAUAUAUUUGCAUAAUUACCAUAUAUUCCCCACCCUAUGAUUGUUAUGGUUCAUACAUCAUUAACCAUCUAAUAAGAGAGCUUAACAUAUUCUAGCCACUUUCAUGCUAAAGAGGGCGACACAAGUCAUUGCCCAUGCCAAAAAAAAAAGUCAAGCAAAAGUUGACUUCAAGCCUUGACUAGUUGCCACUAGUUGUCUAACCUUGCCCCAAGGUUCAUUCAUCUUUCUUAUCUUAUGAAUUGGUGUGAAGAUAACUUUGUAUAAAGGGAGGAAUGCUUAUUGAAGAAGUGAGUAAAAAUAUGAUGUCAAAUAGAGUAGUAGAUGUAGAAAUGCAAGAAUAAAGAGGAAGAAUAUACAAUCUUGUUGUAGUUCUUAAUUUUUAUUUAAAAAGAUUGUGUUUGGUUUUCAGAAAAUGCAAGAGAAAGGGCAAAAAAAAUACUAUGGAUAGUUAUUUUCCUUAGUUUGGGUGACAUGAGAAAUAUAUGGAAAAAAAAUAUAAAAGAAAAUGCUAAAGAAAAUAUUGUAAUAUUUUCCCUUCUACUUUCCUUAAAAAUUAGUGAGGAAAAUAAGAGAGAAAAAGAAGAGAAAAGUUGGAGGAAAUUUUAUCAAGCUCACAUUAUCUUCUUCAUCGAGUCUCCAAUUCACCUAACUUCCUCUUCACUAGUAGUUAUGGAUUCUCACCACCAUUGCUUCAACAACUACCACCAUACUCCAACCAUCUUCCAAUACCUCCAAAAACCAACCCUUUUCAGGUACACAAGUUCCCAUGGAUGAAUUGUAUUAUUCAAAUCUAGUCAAUAUGUUUGAAUCCAUGUCUUCAUACCAGGUAUGGAUUGAAUUCCUCUCUUAACCUCACACCUUGAUGUUUUGUAGAUGUAGGUCUUUUCUUAAUGAAUCCUAUUUUUUUUUUUUCAAUUUAGAAAUUUUAACACCGAAUUUUGUAAAUAUGGAAAAUUUGAUACUACUCUUUGUAAUUGGAUUUCAAUGUUUCUCUUGUGUUUGCAUUUUUUAAUUCAUGUGCUUCCAUUUGAUUUUGAAUACAAGAAUUUUAAUUUUUCGUUUCAUACUGCAAGACUUAAUAGCAACAAUGAGGACAUUACAUGUUUGAGGAAUUACCUAUCAGAGAAUUUAACACACCAAUGAAGUUGUUGCUAUAACCAAAGAAAAAAUAAGUUAGAAAACUAAGAAAAAAAAUAGGCAGAACAAGUAUAAUAAUAGUAUUGUGGAUUGGGUAUGAGAAAAUUAUAGAAGAGAGAGGAUUCUUGAUGUGGUAGAUUUGCAAUUGAAUGAGAAUUUCAACAAAGAGCAAGAUGUCCCUUCCGUGUAGCAUUUAAUCUUACCUUAUUGGGAUUUGUCUUGUUAUAACUUUUGAUGUUAGCUUAGGCAAUGAAAACUUCAGGAACUAAAACUAUCAACUUGUCCUUUACCAUUAGAUAGUUUCUUUCUUAAUAGAAAUGUAGUAAGUAUUCUUAGCAAAUACAACUUGGUUUGGUGGUACAUUUUUUCCUCACUACUUUAUUAUCAUGAUAGAACUUGAUAAAUGUGUCUUAGAUCAAUUUUGUGAAGUUUAAAAAUUCCCUCUUAAAAAUUCUAAACAACUUAUCCAACUUAAGAAGCCUUCUUAAUUAAUGCACAAUCAAUUACAUAUGUUAAGAAGAUCAUUCUCUGUUGUAGUAGCUCUUUAGAUUAUUCUUGCAAAAUUUCCUUUGUUGUGGAAGUCUUUAGUGCAUGCAUGUAGUUAAUUGACUCAAAGCAUUGUACUAAGAAGGUGUUAAACAAACACACAAUCAAUUGAUGAUGAAAACAAACCAUACGAAUCGAAAACUGAUGAAGUUUAGGAUAAGCUAUUACCUCUAGUCAUUGGUGUUUGAUUUAUUAUACUCACUAUUUUGCUACAAGUUUUAGCUCUUCCAAACUCUGAUAUCUCACGGAAGAUAGUGUAGUACUGAAGAAGAGAAAAAUUAAGAGACGAGUUCGGGGACAAAAAAAAUAUAUUUAGAGUUGUGGCUUCCCAUCAAAACCACGUCAUUAUUGUUGCCACCAUUUCAGAGCAGUUGUGGGUUACUUUCUUGGAAUGUAGGGAAUGUGGAAGACUUGGUCAGAGGUGUUGGACCACUUUAGAUAAACUCCCACAACUAAAGAGAUUGAUACCCAUUUUGUGAAACGGGUCUUGUGGGUGUUGUGGGCGUGUAACAGAAAUAACAUUCUCCCACUUGGUCCACACCUUUAACCUAAUGUCUCAUUUUAGUCCAUCAAUUAUCCACAUUAAGUAACAAAUACAUGAAUCAUUGCGAUAAGUCCUCUAUAUAACGAGUGUUACUUUCCAUGUAUCAUAGUGUAUUUAUUUCUUAACGUUAUACUUUAUUUGGCAAUAUUACUUAAUGAAUAAACCUUAUGUUCAUUCUUGGUUCAAUGAAGUUAAAUUUUCUCAAAAUUAAAUAAAGGUGUACAUCAAUAUAAGAAAACAUAAUAAUAAAAGUUUGUACAAUAGAAACUACAUAAGGGAACUAAGUCCCAUGUUCACUACAUGAUCCUUGAAUUUCAAUGGUGGCAUGCCCUUAGUCAAAUGAUCAACGAUCAUCAAUUCAGUGCUAAUGUGCUCAAUAACCACUUUCUUUUCUUUAACACGUUCUCUUAUAGCUAGAUACUUAAUGUCGAUGUGUUUGCUUCUACUUCCACUUUUAUUGUUCUUCGCCAUAAAGAAAACAUUUGAAUUGCCGCAAUAUAUACUCAAUGGCCUAGAUAUAGAAUCCACAAUUCUAAGCUUGAAAAUGAAACUCUUAAGCCAUACACCAUGCAAAGUAGCCUCAAAACAGGAUAUGAACUCAACUUCCAUAGUAAAAGUAGCUGUCAAGGUUUGUUUAACGCUCCUCCAAGAUAUAGCUCCACUGGCCAAUAUAAAAAUGUAUCCAGAUGUUGAUUUAUGCGAAUCAACAUAACCAGCAAAGUUUGAAUCUGAGUAGCCAACAACCUCUAAAUUGCUUGUCCGUCUGUACAUAAGUUUGUAGUCAUCACUUUCUUUGUAGCUCUCUAGUGGUCUAAACCUAGGUUACUUUGAUAUCGUCCUAACAUUCCAAUAGCAAAUGCAAUGUCAGGCCUUGUGCAGGCUUGAGCAUACAUCAAACUUCCGACUGUAGAAGCAUAUGAAAUGUUCUUCAUCUGUUCCAUCUCAAGAUCGUUUUUCGGGUAUUGGUUUAGAUUGAACCUAUCACUCUUCACUAUGGGAGAAACACUAGGUGAACAAUCCUUCAUCCGAAAUCUCUCUAUUCCUGAGAUAGAACUAAGAUACCUUGAAAUCUGUCUCUAUGGAUCUUAAUGCCAAUGACAUAAGAUGCCUCACCCAUAUUCUUCAUGUCAAAAUUUUUAGAGAGGAAUUUUUUCACCUCAUGAAGUAAACCCUUAUCAUUGGUUGCAAAUAAGAUGUCACCCACUUAUAAAAUAAGAAAACAAACUUUACUUCCAUUGAACUUAAGGUAUAUGCAUUGAUCCAUAAAAUUUUCUACAAAACCAAAUGAAGAAAUUACAUUAUGGAAUUUUAAAUACCAUUGGCGGGAUGCUUGUUUUAAACCGUAUGUGGAUUUCUUGAGCUUGAAAACCAAUUGCUCACCAUCACUAGAGGGGAAUCCUUUAGGUUGUUCCAUGUAAACCUCCUCCUCUAGCUCUCCACUAAGAAAUGCAGUUUUCAUAUCUAUUUGUUGCAACUCCAAAUCAAAGUGGGCUACUAAUGUCAAUAUAAUGUGUAAGGAAUCUUUCUUAGAUACAAGAGAGAAGGUCUUCGUGUAAUUGAUUUCUUCUUUCUAAAUGAACCCCUUUGCAACAAGUCUGACCUUGUAUCUCUCAAUGUUGCCUAAUGAGUCUUUCUUUGUCUUAAAGACCCAUUUACAACCAAUGGCUUUUGCACCAUUGGGUAACUCAAUAAGGUCCCAAACAUCGUUGCACCUCAUGGAACUCAUCUCAUCCUUUAUGGAAUUGUAACACAAUUCUGAUUCUUUGCAACUCAUGGCUUGUGAAAACAAUUCGGGAUCAUUUUCGGCUCUUAUAUUGUAGUCAGAUUCUUGUAGAUACACUACAUAAUCACUAAGAAUUGUUGACCUCUUAGUUCGAGUAGACCUUCUUAAGGUUGCACCAUUAUCUUCUAGGGAAGUAUGAGGUUCAACUUGUUGUUCAGAAGUGUCAUGCAACCUGAUCAACUUAAUCUACUGAAAUGUUGUCAAAAACUUGUGGAACUUCAAUGACUGGUUGGUCUUCAAUAAUUGGUUGAACUUCAACAAUUGUUUGUUCUACACCCAUUUGAACUUGAGGGGUGUUAUGAAUAACAAACAAUUUAUCACUCGAAGUGAAAGGUUGAGACUCUAUAUGAUCAAUAUCAGAAACUAUGUUUCCGAAUUGAUCGCUCCCACUGACCAAGUCAUAUUCAAGAAAUUUAGCAUUUCUUGAUUCCACAAUCCUAGUGUUGUGAGUUGGAUAGUAAAAUCCAUACCCCUUAGACCUUUCAUCAUAUCCAAUGAAAUACCCACUUAUAGUCCUUGAGUCCAGUUUCUUCUCUUUCGGAUUAUUAAUUGUCACUUUAGACGAGCAUCCCUAAACGCGCAUAUGUCGCAAACUCGGUUUCCAACUUUUUCAUAACUCAAAUGGCAUCUUCAGGACAACCUUGGUUGGAACUCUAUUUAAUACAUACACUGUCGUCUUAAGUGCUUCAAUCCACAAGAAUCUAGGAAGUUUUGAGCUACUCAGCAUAUUCCUCACCAUGUCCAAUAAAGUUCGAUUUCUUCUUUCUGCUACACAAUUUUGGUAUGGAGAACCAGGCAUGGUGUAUUGGGCAACAAUCCCAUGCUCUUGAAGAAACUUCGAAAAUGGCCCAGGUGCUUGUCCAAUUUCCAUGUAUCUACCAGAAUAUUCUCCAUCUCUAUCUGAUCUCACAAUCUUAAUUUGUUUACUGCAUUGUUUCUCUAUUUUUGCCUUGAAAACCUUAAAAGCAUCUAAUGCUUCAUUUUUGUUAUGAAACAAGUAGAGAUACAUGUAUUAUGAAUAAUCAUCUAUGAAAGAGAUGAAGUAUUUUUUACCAUGAGAGUCCAUGUCUAGACUACAUAUAUCAAUAUGUAUGAUCUCUAAUAUAGCAGAACUCCUAGUAGCACCUUUCUUUAACUUGUUGAUCUGCUUUUCUUUAAUGCAGUCCACACAAGUCUCAAAGUCAAUAAAAUCUAGAGUACUAAGUACCUCAUCAUCAUUUACCAAUCUUUUGAUUCUAUCUAUGGAGAUAUGACCUAAUCUCCAGUGCCAUAAUGUAGAGGAAUCCUCAUUUACAACACAUCUCUUAAUGUCAGUUUAGACAUGUAAUGAAUUAUAAGUGGUAUCAUUUUGUAAGAAUAUGCAAUAAAGACCAUCAGACAAAAUACCAUUCCCAACACAAUCAGAUUUAUAAGUCAAACUGAAAUAUGUUCCUAAAAAAUGAAAGGAAUAUCCAAAAGGUACAAGUCUAGAAACUGAAAUCAAGUUUCGUGAGAAACUUGGUACAUAAAAGGUCCUUUGCAAUUCUAAAACAAAACCACCAUCUAAAGUUAAAUAACACGUCCUUAUUCCUUCCACAUGUGAGCCCAUCUUGUUUCUGGAUAAGAUGAAUUGCUCACUUCUCACUAACUUCCUUAGGUUUUGCUUACCCUGCAAGGAAUUUGAAAUAUGGAUUGUAGAUCCAAAAUCAAUCCACCAUGUGUUGGUAUUUACGUUAACCAUAUUAGAUUCAUAACAAACAAACGAGGUAGGGUUAUCUUUCUUAUCAAGCCAUAUCCGGAAUUUCAAACAUUUCUUAUUCACAUGUUCUUUCUUUUUAUAGAAGAAACACUUUUCGUCUUUCUUAAUGUCAACUUUGGGAGGAAUUUGAUGUUUCCAUUUCCGAUUGGCUUGAGAUUUUCCUUUCUUUUGCAUUAAAAACGUGACAUUUUCUCCUUGCUCCAUCAUUAACCUUCCUCUUGAACACACAUGGUCAUCAAUUCAUUGAUAUACCACUUAUCCUUAUGUUUGUUGUAAGAGAUUUUGAAAGGUCCAUACUAAGGCAGAAGAGUGUUGAGGAUAAAGUGCACCAAGAAGGAUUCAAACAUUUCUACCUCGAGCUUCUUCAGUUGAGCCACUAUGUCCCUCAUUUCCAUGAUGUGUUCGUGUACACCUUUUAUAUCGGUGAGCUUCAGGGAUGUGAACUUCAUAAUUAGGGUGCUCGCCAAGGCUUUAUCCGAAGUGACGAAUUGCUCGUCAAUAGCCUUUAGCAAUUCACAGACAUUUUCGUGCUACUCGAUUGAACCAUGUAUACCAACACUAAUCUUAGUCUUAAUAUACAUCACACUGAGGCGAUUAGAUUUUUCCUAGCGUUCGUACAAUAGAAUUCGAUCAAGUGUGUUGGUAUCGGUGAUCUUAGGUAGUUCAUCUUUCCUAAUGGCAUAGUCUAUGGCCAUGCACCCUAAUUGAAUAAGAAUUCUUUGCUUCCAUAACUUAAAGUUAUCUCCCCUAAGUUUAGGAACCUCACAAUGAAUAUCAAAAAUGCUAAGUAAAGCUGCACAAAAAGAUUAUAAGCUUAUUAAUAUUUGAGGUUUUAAAUAAAUUCAUGUUUUACCAAUGUAAAACAUGCUUAAAAUUUGAAUCUAAUUUUAUUAAAAAUGUUUGUGGGCUAAAUCUCUAAUUCAAUCAGAUUCAUUAUCUUUAUGAUAGAUUUUAUCAAACUAUUUUUACCGAAUUCAUAAUUUUAAUGUUUAUUAUGAUUAUAGUUUGAUAUCUUCUAUCUUUAAACUUUAUGAUAAACAAUUAAAUUAAUUAUUCCUAACUCCUGUGGGUAAAUUAGGAAAAACUGAUUUUAAUAUUUUAUCCUAAUUAAUUAUACAAACAUAAUGAAAUCCCUAUGGGGUAAAAUCGUUAUAUUUAUAUAAUUAAUUACAAUUAAUGUCCAUUAUGUGAUCCUUAUCCACCUAAUAUAUAAUUUUAUAUAAUUAAAGAUGUUGUGGCUAUUCCUUAAUUAUUUAAAAUUAUAUGGUUCACUAGACAUUAAAAAUAUAUUUUAGGCUCUACUUAAUACCUAAGAAUAAUUAUGCAGUAACAUAAAAGACAACCACAAAAAUGUUUGUGAAUUAUUCAUAACUUAAUUGUUUACCCUAAAUAAUUAUUUUAAUUAAUUUGUGAACAUUUUAUGAAUCUUAAUGUGCUAAAUAAUUUUAACUAAAAUUAUAUGUUAUAACUAUAAUUUAGGCAAUAUUGCAUGCAAAUAAAGCUAUAAAUUAAGUUACACAUAAAAUAACUUAAAUAAAUAGUACCGACAUAAUAUUGGCAUGAAUAAUACAAACAUACAAAUUAGCACAAAUUAACCUUACUUGCAUGUAUAAAGACCACAUAAUAAUUUAUUUAUUUAUUUAUUUUUUUUUUUUGGCAAAUGUAUAAAGGUGGAUGUCAGAUUGUGAGCGGCUGAAGAGGUGCUGUGGGACCCUGCGGAGCACCGGCCAGUUAUCCUUCCACCGACGAGAGCAGGAGGAGAUGUGAAACCUGGUGCCCUCCACUCUAGGAACCACGUCACCCAGGUCUUCGCCCGGACGUCGAGACUCAUCUCCCAACUUGGAACGGGUAGGCGAGCAUUUAACCCCAUCAGUCCCUACCCGCUCAACUGAAACAACAUCCGCCCACCUUAAUGCCCCCACUUGGGCUAGAGGAAUCACAGGAAUUCCAUUAUUUUUGGAAUUAUGGAAUUUAUUCAUGUUUAUUAAAAAUCGAGAAAAUUGUUGAAAAUUAAAGAAAAUUAGGAAAGUUCAUGAUAGGAAAAGAAAGGCUGCAAGUGUUUAUUAAAAAUCAGGAUUUUAAUGCCUAAAAAUGUCUAAGGAUGAAUUUUUAAAGCCGAGAUUAUUUGAAUGAAAAAAUUUUUGAAAACCCAAUUUAAAACAUGUAAGAUCACAAAGAAACAAUAGAAAUGCAUUUGGGAGAGGACAGUGUGCACUAAGGUAGCCAUGCAGGAGUGAGGCCCGGGGAUAGGACUGAGACUGCACCGCUGGUGGUUGCAUGAGGAGACCUAUGCAAAUUGCUGGUAGUCUGGAAAAGAACUGACCAUAUUGAUUUUAGAGGGCUCACUGGGUUUUGGGGCACUACCUCAUCAGCCAAGGCACUCCAACUCAACUCUGGUUUCUCAGAAUCCCAACUUUAUCAUCAACAAAAGCUUAUGGUAGAGUAGUGAGGUCCAAUUCCAGAUCAGAUUCCCUGUGCUGCUACUCAUUCUCCAUCUUCUAGUCCUCAAUAUUGUAACUGACUCAUCCAUUUUCUCACAAUUCACUUCUGGAUUUUUGCAGCUCAACUUCUGUGUUCUCUUGUUCAUUAUGAGUUCCAUCUUUUAUUUCCAAAACUUCAAGAAAACCUAAAUCACCAGGUUGGGGCACCCUCCAUCUCACUGGGAUAGACCUCCACUGCAGCUUGUGUAUUUCCGAUAUAUUUCAUAGGCGUAGAAAGAGAAUGGUAAGCUAGAAGGCAAGCAUCUGAAUUCUUUAAUGCUUGUCUCAUGGGUAUUCAGUUUAUGGGAUUCCAGGUCACAGACAUCCAACCGACAGGCAACAAGUCACAACUUCUUAGUGUUUUCAGCUCAGGAUACUCACAUGCAAGGUCCAGAACUCAUUGAGCAAACGCUGAACUCUUCUGAUUAAUACCAUUUCCCCGACCCUCUAUUUUGGCAACCAUUUUGGGCAUCUCAUACCUGUAAAAGGCAUCAUCACUAUUCCCAGCACCUAUAUUCUGCAAAGCCAUCUUUGCUUUAGAAUAAAGAGACCAGAAAAAGGACUAAAUAUCAACAGGGAGCAAUUGCUGAAUUCAGUAUGUGGGCAGCAGUAUUUUUGACACAGGAAAACUAAUUGUCUCUGGCUAAGGAAGGUUGCAUCCAACUUCUUUCAACUCUGUCACGCCUUCCUUGUAGACUUCAACACAUGUAUAUUGACCAGUGCUCGGUGGAACCUCAAAGCAGAAAUUUCUAGUUUCAUUAAUUAUUUCCAUGGGGUUCUCCAAGUUGCUUUGAGUAUUACUUGCUAGAUAUUCUCCAAGUGAACCCUCCUAGUUACCUCUUUAAAAAUGAGUGGAGCUAGUCUUUUUGAUCUGGGAUUUUUUCUGCAAAAAGUUGGGUUCUUUCAAUAUCGGAGUUAGGAACACAUGGCAAGGAGGAGGGGUCAUUCCCAACCACUUCUUGCUCUAAGGGUAAUAUCUGGUGGAAACUAUANNNNNNNNNNNNNNNNNNNNNNNNNNNNNNNNNNNNNNNNNGAGGAUUUAUUUUUAAAAAAAAUUAAUUUUCAUGAUGAAAAUUCAAUGCCUGCACUUUUAGAAUUUAACAUGCAUAUGACUGAUAUGUGCAAUUUUUGUUGGCACAGUGACAGUUACCCAUCCAUGAUGUACAAGUAAUAUUGGUCCCACUCUCUUACACAAAAAGAUGUAUUCAAAAUUAAGGGUAUGUUUCUUCCACAAAAAAAAAAAAAGAAAAGAAAAUGGAAGUCAUGUGUGGUAGGGUAUGUAUUCACGUGCAGGUGUAGGAGGCUUUGUUGCAACCAAUUACUCUCCCUUCCCAAGUAUUGGAAGGGAUAACAUAGAAGUCAUUUCCGUUAUCCUCAAUGUUUGAAUACAAGUACCUGAUGUAAAAAUAAUUCUUCUUUUUAGGACAAAGUCCCCUCUUGAAUUUUUUCCUAUUUUCUCGUCAAAAUUUUUAUGCCAUCAAAAUAGAGUGAUUCUUAUAAGCCUGGGAUGUAAUGUUGGUUGACUAUUAUGAUAGUAAAUUAAUUAGGGAGGAUGCUUGCAUAUAACAAUUUUAUUUUAUUUUAUUUUUAAUCAUGGAGCACAUUUUGGCCCAAAACUGCCCAUUACUAACGGCUGGUACUCCCAUGGUAGCAUAUAAUGUAUCUUUGAUGGACAUGCAUUUGUAUAAUUUUUUUAUGAUUUAUGAUUUAUGAUAUUUAUAAUAAAUCUAUAAUUAUUUAUUAUUAUUAUUAUUAUUAUUAAAUUGCUUUUUGUUGAGAAAAAAAGAUAAUAUGCAAAGGAAGCCAAUAUUUAUUUGAUGGUGCAUGCAAUUUAUCUGUGCACUGUCUUUAAUCGUACAUUGAAUGUUGCAAUGCAUAUAAUAAGACCAUAUAAAAAUUAAAAAAGAAAAAGAAAAAAAAGGAAUGAAUGAUUCAAUAAUACUAACAUGUGCAACAGUUUAUCUAAAUAUGGUUUCUAAUUUUAAAAUUUGAACAAAGAUAUUUAUUUAUUUUAUUGGAGUUGGAUUUGAAUGUUUGGAUUGACCAAUUCCAUAAAUAAUUAUUUAUUUAUUUUAUUGGAGUUGAAUUUGAAUGCCUGGAUUGACCCGAUUAAAUAAAUAAUUAUUUAUUGGGUUUGCGUUUGAGUGCUCAAGUGAACUAAGCCAACCUAAUAAAUGAAAAUAGGGAGAAGUUUUUGAGAGCUUAAAAAUUACUAAAAAACUAUUAUAAAAAAAUAAAUAGUAUAAGAAAAUAAAAAAUAAGAUAAUUCUUCUUUCGAGGACAAAGUCCCCUCUUGAAUUUUUUCCUAUUUUCUCUAUAAAAAUGAGGGCCAAAAUUUUUAUGCCGCCAAGAUAGAGUGAUUCUUAUAAGCCUUGGAUGUGAUGCUGGUUGACUAUUAUGAUAGUAAAUUGGGGAGGAUGCUUGCAUAUAGUGUAUCUUUGAUGGACAUGCAUUUGUAUAAUUUUUUUUAUGAUUUAUAAUAUUGCAUCAAUGUUUAUGAACAUUUUGCAAUCAUGAUUUGGUUUGAUUUGAUUUUUUGGACGUGCAACAUAAGAAAUAGGUUUUGUAUUAAGAUAUUUGAAUGGGUAUAGAUUUGUACUUAAGAAAUGAACAUAUGAUUAAAAUAAACCUGUUUCUAACCUUUUAACACACAAAUUUGGAAAUCUAAACAUAUGGAUUGUUUCUGAAAGCAGCGCUGACUUUUCCUUUCCUACCAAAUACAAACAUCAUGGCUGGAGAGUUAAUGAAGAUUUUUACCACUACCAUGGAUUCUGGUGCUAUUCCUUCUUCCUAGAAGGAACCAUGAAAUCUCAAGAACACUUCCAGGUCCAAUCUUUACAAAUUAUUUCAUUUUGAUUUUUUUUUCAAAUCUAUAAUUAUUUAUUAUUAUUGUUAAAUUUAAAUCUAUAAAUUAUUAUGCGAGGUCAAAGUUUCAAAAGUAUUCUACAUAUAUUUUAAAUUUAUUUCUUGGUCAAUUCUCAUAAUUAUAGUGGUCCUGCUCAUUGAACUGGUCCUGGAAGAACAUUCAAAUUACUUUAUCUUAUAUUGAUACGUGGCGAGAAAUUGUUGAACCCCGGGAGAAUCGUCUUGAAUAUAUUAUGAAUUAUCUAUUAAAGAAAUACAGCAAAAGUUCGGGAGAAACCGGCUGUUGGGUGCCCACAGAAGGUGACAGCAGCCAUAAAAGUUGCUGUUCAGCUUUCACCAAUUCUAGUUUUGGUUCUCUCCAGCCUCUAUAAAUACCUUUCAUCUAUUCAUGUCAAAGAGCAGAUAAGUCGUGCUAUUAGAAAUAGUAAGAAAAUCGAAGGAGUUGUGUUUAGGACAAGAGAAGCUUUUCUUCCAAAGAAGAUGUGGCUGAUCAUGAAGGUUUUCCUCUUGCAAAUUUUAGCGUUUCUACUUUUUGGUGGUGGCAUCUAUUGCCAAGCUUCAACCCGUCGGCUGACUUUUGUGGUAAAUACUAUAUAUGAUUUUAGCCUUAACGCCACCUUAUGAUCGUAAUAUUUAGGGAGUAGUAUUACUCUCAUUUUCCACCGUAUGACCCCCAUGGGGUUCUCGGGUACCCUGUGUCAUUGAGUCAUUCAUGCAGGCUAUCAAUUUCUAAUUGGUUAUACACUUGCAUGAAUGGAUCGAUGCAACUAUUCAUGCAUGUAAUAUGUCUUUAGGGAUGAGGUUGCAUGGUUAACUUUUAAUUGGUUGCAGGUGAAGGAAGCUUCAUAUACAAGGCUUUGUAGCACCAAGAACAUCUUAACAGUAAAUGGACAAUUUCCUGGACCAACUAUAUAUGCUAAGAAAGGAGAGACGAUCAUUGUCGACGUUUAUAACAAAGGAAAAGAAAACAUCACCAUUCAUUGGUAGGUCUUGUGCGUAUCUCAAAAAAACGAUAGUAAUCGGUAGCAUGCCUACAUGACAUACAUUCUUUUAUUUCUAAGAGGGGGUUGCAAUAUAUUGCUUUGCAAAUAAAGUCAAAUUUAAACAAUACUUUAUGGUUAUUUGCUUCAAUUCCAUUGAAAUACAGUUGAUGCCUCUUGUUACUAUGACAAUAUGUUGUUGCAUGCCAUCUUUUGUUAGUCCAAAAAUUAGUACUAGUUUUAAUGUAUAGUUAUUGUUUUGCAGGCAUGGGGUGAGCAUGCCUAGAUAUCCAUGGACAGAUGGUCCUGAGUAUAUCACACAAUGCCCAAUUCAACCAGGGUCAAAGUUUAGCCAAAAGAUCAUCCUUUCCUUUGAGGAAGGCACUCUAUGGUGGCAUGCUCACAGUGAUUGGACCCGAAACACCGUUCAUGGAGCUAUAAUCGUCUAUCCCAAGAAUGGAACCAAGUAUCCUUUUCCCAAACCUAAUGCAGAAAUUCCCAUCAUAUUAGGUAUAAGUGUUGUUACUUUUAAAGGUUAAUUUACAUAUCAUGAAUUAACCAACAAAUCAAGGUCUAAAAUUAUUGGAUUUGUUGAAAUGCAGGACAAUGGUGGAAGAGUGAUGCGAAUGUGGUUCGAGAUGAAGCGCUUGCAACUGGAGCUGACCCCAAUGCCUCUGAUUCUUUAUUGAUAAAUGGACAACCUGGUGAUCUAUUUCCAUGCUCAAAACCAGGUACAAAUUAAGUUUAACUUCCCAUUUUAAAAUUGUACAUGAUUUCAUUUUCUUGUAUUUUGACCAUAUUACUUUUUCUUAUUAACAUCAACAUAUUUAAAGCUUAAUGCUAAAAAAGAGGAAUAUAGCUAUGAGGAUGGUAGAGCCAUGAUUUAACACAUAAGAAAAGGCUAGUCCGAAUAUAAUUUUGAACUAUGGAGCCAAAUUUACACCCCUAAUCACUUCAUAAUUGGUGGAUCCUCAUGGAAAAUUUUCUUUUUCUUUUCACUAGUCAUAAGUAUAAAAAUUUCCCUUUCUAAUUGCAGGCACAUUCAAGCUAACGGUGGAUCAUGGAAAGACCUAUCUACUUCGCAUAAUCAAUGCUGCCUUGCACGAGGCUCUCUUCUUCUCCAUUGCCAAGCAUAAAAUGACAGUGGUUGGAACAGAUGGUAGCUACACAAAACCAUUGACACGAGAUUAUAUCACAAUAUAUCCUGGCCAAACCUACGAUGUCUUACUAGAAGCUAACCAACACCCGGAUCACUAUUACAUGGCAGCUAAAACUUAUUCCAUUGCCCCGGCAGCUCGUAAUUUUUUUGACAACACAACCACCACAGCUAUUGUACAGUACAGGGGAUACUACACUCCAUCUUCACCUCUCUCCUUGCCUUAUUUGCCUACAUACAAUGACACAAAUGCAUCGGUUCAGGUCAUGGCCGGCCUCCGAAGCUUAGCAGAUGCGGAAUAUCCUUGCAAUGUCCCAUUGAGCCCGAGCACUAAACUGAUUUACACUGUUGGUAUGAACUCGUACCUAUGCCCCAAUAAUUCAUGUGCAGGGCCCAAUGGGACGCGGUUCUCCGCAAGUAUAAACAACAUAAGCUUCCAAUUCCCUACAAUUGACAUACUGCAAGCUUACUAUUAUAACAUUAGUGGUGUAUAUGGAGAUAAAUUUCCU
rnacentral:lncRNA from 1 species